rnacentral:rRNA from 1 species
CGUACACUCCUACGGGAGGCAGCAGUGGGGAAUUUUGGACAAUGGGCGAAAGCCUGAUCCAGCCAUGCCGCGUGCAGGAUGAAGGCCUUCGGGUUGUAAACUGCUUUUGUACGGAACGAAACGGCCUUUUCUAAUAAAGAGGGCUAAUGACGGUACCGUAAGAAUAAGCACCGGCUAACUACGUGCCAGCAGCCGCGGUAAUACGUAGGGUGCAAGCGUUAAUCGGAAUUACUGGGCGUAAAGCGUGCGCAGGCGGUUAUGUAAGACAGUUGUGAAAUCCCCGGGCUCAACCUGGGAACUGCAUCUGUGACUGCAUAGCUAGAGUACGGUAGAGGGGGAUGGAAUUCCGCGUGUAGCAGUGAAAUGCGUAGAUAUGCGGAGGAACACCGAUGGCGAAGGCAAUCCCCUGGACCUGUACUGACGCUCAUGCACGAAAGCGUGGGGAGCAAACAGGAUUAGAAACCCUGGUAGUCCCA